AGUGAACGCUGGCGGUAGGCCUAACACAUGCCAGUCGAACGGCAGCACAGUAAGAGCUUGCUCUUACGGGUGGCGAGUGGCGGACGGGUGAGGAAUACAUCGGAAUCUACUUUUUCGUGGGGGAUAACGUAGGGAAACUUACGCUAAUACCGCAUACGACCUACGGGUGAAAGCAGGGGAUCUUCGGACCUUGCGCGAUUGAAUGAGCCGAUGUCGGAUUAGCUAGUUGGCGGGGUAAAGGCCCACCAAGGCGACGAUCCGUAGCUGGUCUGAGAGGAUGAUCAGCCACACUGGAACUGAGACACGGUCCAGACUCCUACGGGAGGCAGCAGUGGGGAAUAUUGGACAAUGGGCGCAAGCCUGAUCCAGCCAUACCGCGUGGGUGAAGAAGGCCUUCUGGUUGUAAAGCCCUUUUGUUGGGAAAGAAAAGCAGCAGGUUAAUACCCCGCUGUUCUGACGGUACCCAAAGAAUAAGCACCGGCUAACUUCGUG
rnacentral:rRNA from 1 species